GGCGAGGUAGCUCAGCUGGUUUAGAGCGGCGGAUUCAUAACCCGCAGGUCGAGGGUUCGAGUCCCUCCCUCGCCA
rnacentral:tRNA from 5 species